CCUUCGCUGAUGAGCAGCUUCUGACUUUCGUUCUUCUGAGUUUGGUGAAGCCAGAUGCCAUUCCUGAGAAGG
ensembl:snoRNA